rnacentral:rRNA from 1 species
AUGAACGCUGGCGGCGUGUCUUAGGCAUGCAAGUCGAACGAACCGUCGCAAGACGGAGAGUGGCAAACGGGUGAGUAACACAUUGGUAACCUACCCCUGUCACGGCCAUAACCCGGAGAAAUCUGGGCUAAUAGCCGAUGGUGUAAUCUCGCUUCGGCGAGAUUAAUAAAGGCCUCGCAAGAGGUCGGGCGGGGAUGGGCCUAUGGUCCAUCAGCUAGUUGGUAGAGUAAUGGCCUACCAAGGCAACGACGGAUAGCGGGUGUGAGAGCACGACCCGCCUCACUGGGACUGAGACACUGCCCAGACUCCUACGGGAGGCUGCAGUCAAGAAUCUUCCCCAAUGGCCGAAAGGCUGAGGGAGCGACGCCGCGUGCAGGAAGAAGCCCUUCGGGGUGUAAACUGCUUUUUUCAGGGAAAAAUUUUGAUGGUACUUGAAGAAUAAGGGGCUGCUAAACUCGU